AAUAAUAAUUCAACACUCUAAGACUUUGUGUGACUUCAAAUGGACAGUUGAAAGUUAGGGUAGUCAACUGCUUAUUAUAACCUAUGAGCAGUUAAAAGUGACAAAGUAUGAUGACCUAAAAUGUGUUUUUAAUAAAGGUGUGCCUAGAAAGAACUUUUCAAAAACAGAAAGGAAGAACUUACAGCCAGUGGAUGCUUUCUUGAAGUAAAAGGAAAUCACAGGAAUGUUACAAGAAUAUCACCUUGGUAAUAGUGGUGUCAGGACUUAAGUGGCUGUGUGCAUGCCCACCAGCAGGCACCAUGGAGAUGUCACCAGUGGACAUUUAGGUGCCCACUGUGCAAGGUAUCAUACACACAUGUAAUGCGUGGAAACUCCUUGCCCC